rnacentral:lncRNA from 1 species
GAGAGCUGCAUCUUUAUAUAAAUGGCUUUUUUUUUUUUUUUCAGAUUAUCAUUAAGAGGAAUGAGGAUCAUCGUGAAAAGAAAAAGUGAUGGAACACGAAUCCACAAAAAAUCCCUGCUACCACUGGGAUUAAAAAUAAUAAUAAUAAUCACACAGAAUAACAGGAAAACACCUUCUGAUUCAUUCUCAUCUUGCUUGGUAUGUAGUGGAGCUUUUCAUCAUCAAGAGAUGGAUGGCAAAUGA